rnacentral:rRNA from 1 species
UUCGACUAGGGGGUCAUCCCGACUUACCAACUCGAUGCAAACUACGAAUACCGAAGAAUGUUAUCACGGGAGACACACGGCGGGUGCUAACGUUCGUCGUGAAGAGGGAAACAACCCAGACCGCCAGCUAAGGUCCCAAAGUCAUAGUUAAGUGGGAAACGAAGUGGGAAGGCUCAGACAGCCAGGAUGUUGGCUUAGAAGCAGCCAUCAUUUAAAGAAAGCGUAAUAGCUCACUGGUCGAGUCGGCCUGCGCGGAAGAUGUAACGGGGCUAAACUAUGCACCGAAGCUGCGGCAGCGAACGUAUCACUUAAACUGAUUAAGUGAUACUCAAAUGUAUCAAAACGAUUGACGGAGCGAAGCGACGUCAAUGCGUCCAACAAAGUCGAGGCGGAAACGUCAGGCAGUCAGUUUAAGGAUACGUUCGUUGGGUAGGGGAGCGUUCUGUAAGCCUGUGAAGGUGUGCUGUGAGGCAUGCUGGAGGUAUCAGAAGUGCGAAUGCUGACAUAAGUAACGAUAAUGCGGGUGAAAAACCCGCACGCCGGAAGACCAAGGGUUCCUGUCCAACGUUAAUCGGGGCAGGGUGAGUCGACCCCUAAGGCGAGGCAGAAAUGCGUAGUCGAUGGGAAACGGGUUAAUAUUCCCGUACUGGUGAUAAUUGCGAUGGGGGGACGGAGAAGGCUAGGCUAUCCGGGCGACGGUUGUCCCGGUUUAAGGAUGUAGGC